GGUGCCCGUACCGCAAACCGACACAGGUAGGUAGGAAGAAGAUUCUAAGGCCAACGGGAGAAGGGUUGUUAAGGAACUCGGCAAAUUGACCCCGUAACUUCGGGAGAAGGGGUGCUCCAGAGAUGGAGCCGCAGAGAAUCGGCCCAAGCAACUGUUUACCAAAAACACAGGUUUGUGCUAAAUCGAAAGAUGACGUAUACGAGCUGACGCCUGCCCGGUGCUGGAAGGUUAAGAGGAGAUGUGCAAGCAUUGAAUCGAAGCCCCAGUGAACGGCGGCCGUAACUAUAACGGUCCUAAGGUAGCGAAAUUCCUUGUCAGGUAAGUUCUGACCCGCAUGAAAGGCGUAAUGAUUUGGGCACUGUCUCAACAGCCCGCCCGGCGAAAUUGUAGUACCGGUGAAGAUGCCGGUUACCCGCGACAAGACGGAAAGACCCCAUGGAGCUUUACUGUAGCCUAAUAUUGGGUUUCGAUGUUGCAUGCACAGGAUAGAUGGGACUCUGGGAAGUGAUCGCUUUGGCGGUCAUGGAGAGGACGUUGGGAUACCAUCCUUGCGAUAUUGGAAUUCUAACCUGCGGCUCUGAAUCGAGUCGGGGGACAUUGUUAGGUGGGCAGUUUGACUGGGGCGGUCGCCUCCUAAAGAGUAACGGAGGCGUUCAAAGGUUCGCUCAGCUUGAACGGAAAUCAAGCAAAAGAGUGCAAACGCAGAAGCGAGCCUAACUGCGAGACUGACGGGUCGAGCAGUAACGAAAGUUGGAGUUAGUGAUCCGGUGGUAUGUGAGUGGAAAUGCCAUCGCUCAACGGAUAAAAGUUACCCUGGGGAUAACAGGCUGAUCUCCCCCAAGAGUCCACAUCGACGGGGAGGUUUGGCACCUCGAUGUCGGCUCAUCGCAUCCUGGGGCUGUAUUCGGUCCCAAGGGUUUGGCUGUUCGCCAAUUAAAGCGGUACGCGAGCUGGGUUCAGAACGUCGUGAGACAGUUCGGUCCCUAUCUGUCGUGGGCGCAGGAUAUUUGAUGGGAGCUGU
rnacentral:rRNA from 1 species